GAGAUGGAUUGGUGCCUUCGGGAACUGUGAGACAGGUGCUGCAUGGCUGUCGUCAGCUCGUGUUGUGAAAUGUUGGGUUAAGUCCCGCAACGAGCGCAACCCUUAUCCUUUGUUGCCAGCGGUCCGGCCGGGAACUCAAAGGAGACUGCCAGUGAUAAACUGGAGGAAGGUGGGGAUGACGUCAAGUCAUCAUGGCCCUUACGACCAGGGCUACACACGUGCUACAAUGGCGCAUACAAAGAGAAGCGACCUCGCGAGAGCAAGCGGACCUCAUAAAGUGCGUCGUAGUCCGGAUUGGAGUCUGCAACUCGACUCCAUGAAGUCGGAAUCGCUAGUAAUCGUGGAUCAGAAUGCCACGGUGAAUACGUUCCCGGGCCUUGUACACACCGCCCGUCACACCAUGGGAGUGGGUUGCAAAAGAAGUAGGUAGCUUAACCUUCGGGAGGGCGCUUACCACUUUGUGAUUCAUGACUGGGGUGAAGUCGUAACAAGGUAACCGUAGGGGAACCUGCGGUUGGA
rnacentral:rRNA from 1 species